GUGACUAGUCAAGCAGGCGAUUAUAUGUAUAUGUAAGGCCUUCCAUGCAGCAGAGCACUGUAGUUUAAUUUCAACAGAAAAAUAUUGAUAUGUGGGAGAAAUAUAAUGGAGGGCUACGUAAAGCAAGUGAAUACACAUUAUGGUAGAUACAAAAACGAGGAACAAGAUUAAAAGCCUCCUUGCAACUCUGUGCUCAGUUUAUAAAUUAAAUGAAGGGAUGCAUGCAGGACAAGGCUAGGGAAGAUGAAUCUAAUGUCAAGGAGAAAUUAGUCACAUGAAUCUUAAAUUUAGAGCUGAUUCGGGGUUUUUUUUUAUCAAAGAUUAUUUUUAGGUUUUUUGCUU
rnacentral:lncRNA from 1 species